rnacentral:lncRNA from 1 species
GUACAAUUAAAAGCAUCAUAAAUUUUCAAAAUUUGUUCUUUAAAUAUAAGAGAAAGCAACUGUUGACAAAUCUAAUAAAAAGACAAAGGAAAAUAAAUUGCAUUAAAUGUGACAAUAUGGGGCUGGGGCUGUAGCUCAGGGGUAGAGUGCCUGCCUCACAUGUCUGAGGCACUGGCUUUGAUCCUCAGCACCACUUAAAAAUAAAUAAAUAAAGAUAUAGUGUCCACCUACAACUAAAAAAAAAUUAUUUUUUAAAAAUGUGAGGACACGAGGAGGUUGAAAAUUAUAAGAAAAUACUCUAGGGGAGAUUCAAGAUGGCAGAUCAGAGGAGGGCUGCCUUCCAGUUGCUGAGACUCACGAUCCAGGCAGCCAGAGUACCCCUUCUCAGAGAAGUGGGUGAGAGAAGGGCUUCACUACAGUUCAGUAUUGGACAUCAGAGUGUCUCAGAGACUCGGAAAUGUGGGUGCCUUGAACAAAGAACAAGAAAGAAUACUCAGUGCCAAGCUGGGUUGACAAUAGCAACAGGCUGGUCCAUACAGAGGGGAGGGAGCAGGAAACAGGGAGAAACCAGACAGAUCUGAUGUGGAAAACCCUGUCCAUCAGAAAGCAGCCUGAGCCGAGCUGACCCACUGGCUGUGUAAGGGGACAGGGAGGUGAGAAUGGUGGGACAUGAGGUUGAGGGAAUGAUUCUAUAAAAUGAGCCCCCUGGGCUGACCCCCACAUGCCUUCUUUGCCAAAAAGCAAUCUGCCUGCAGCCCAGCCUGACCUGAGUGGACAGGAUAUGUCACAAUCUGCAGCAAGCUGAGGCAGGGGGAGAAGGUCAGGUCCUCAGUGUAGGUAAUGAGUGAUGCGGAUGGAGAGAGGAUGAGGACUGGUUAUCACUGGUGGUCAGAGAGGAAGUGGGUUGUUAACCUCUGUGGUCAUGCCCCUGGGCACUAACAAUCAACCUCUGCAUCCCUACCCCUGGUCACAGCAUGC